UACGUAGGGACCAAGCGUUGUUCGGAUUUACUGGGCGUAAAGGGCGCGUAGGCGGCCACUGCAAGUCAGUUGUGAAAUCUCCGGGCUUAACUCGGAAAGGUCAACUGAUACUGCAGGGCUAGAGUGCGGAAGGGGCAACUGGAAUUCUCGGUGUAGCGGUGAAAUGCGUAGAUAUCUGGAGGAACAUCAGUGGCGAAGGCGACACCCUGGACUCAUACUGACACUGAGGUGCGAAAGCGUGGGGAGCAAACAGG
rnacentral:rRNA from 1 species